rfam:Triticum urartu cultivar G1812 contig604688, whole genome shotgun sequence.
UAGUUACUCCCUCCGUCCGAAAAUACUUGUCAACAAAACGGAUGAAAAUGGAUGUAUCUAGAACUAAAAUACAUCUAGAUACAUCCAUUUCAAUGACAAGUAUUUUCGGACGGAGGGAGUAUAUA